UGCGGUUAUACAGAAGUUAAAUUAAAUUUUUUUAGGAUUUAAUAAAUAAAAUUUAAAAUUAAUAAUAAUUUAAAUUUUAAAUUAUAAAGUGAAAUUUUAAUUUAAUUAAAAUUUAUUUAUUUUUAUGAUAUUAAUAAAUUUUAUAAAAAACUAGGAUUAGAUACCCUAUUAUAAAAAUUUAAAUUGAAAUAAUCUUAAAAUAGUAUAUAAUUUUUUUAUAGAAACUUAAAUAAUUUGGCGGUAUUUUAGUUCAUUUAGAGGAAUCUGUCUAAUAAUUGAUAAUCCACGAUUAAAUUUACUUAAUUUUUAAUUUUGUAUAUCGUUGUUAAAAAAAUAUUUUUAAAUAAUUUUAAUAUUUUAGAAUUUAUAUAAAAAAUUAAAUCAGAUCAAGAUGCAGAUUAUAAUUAAGAAUAUGAUGGAUUACAAUAAAUUUUAUUUAGUUUGAAUAUUAAUUUGAAAUAAAUUGAUUGAAAUUGGAUUUAAAUGUAAUUUUAUUUAUUUUAAUAAAAUGAUUGAAAAUUAAAAUAUGUACAUAUUGCCCGUCGCUUUCAUAGAUAAAUUGAAAUAAGUCGUAACAAAGUAGAGGUACUGGAAAGUGUUUCUAGAAAGAU
rnacentral:rRNA from 1 species